UACGUAGGUGGCAAGCGUUGUCCGGAUUUACUGGGCGUAAAGAGCGCGCAGGCGGUCGUUCAAGUCGCGUGUGAAAGCCCCCGGCUCAACUGGGGAGGGUCACGCGAUACUGAUCGACUCGAAGGCAGGAGAGGGUAGUGGAAUUCCCGGUGUAGUGGUGAAAUGCGUAGAUAUCGGGAGGAACACCAGUGGCGAAGGCGACUUCCUGGCCUGUUCUUGACGCUGAGGAGCGAAAGCGUGGGGAGCAAACAGG
rnacentral:rRNA from 1 species